rnacentral:rRNA from 1 species
GACGAACGCUGGCGGCGUGCUUAACACAUGCCAGUCGAACGGAAAGGCCCUGCUUUUGUGGGGUGCUCGAGUGGCGAACGGGUGAGUAACACGUGAGUAACCUGCCCUUGACUUUGGGAUAACUUCAGGAAACUGGGGCUAAUACCGGAUAGGAGCUCCUGCUGCAUGGUGGGGGUUGGAAAGUUUCGGCGGUUGGGGAUGGACUCGCGGCUUAUCAGCUUGUUGGUGGGGUAGUGGCUUACCAAGGCUUUGACGGGUAGCCGGCCUGAGAGGGUGACCGGCCACAUUGGGACUGAGAUACGGCCCAGACUCCUACGGGAGGCAGCAGUGGGGAAUAUUGCACAAUGGGCGGAAGCCUGAUGCAGCAACGCCGCGUGCGGGAGGACGGCCUUCGGGUUGUAAACCGCUUUCGCCUGUGACGAAGCGUGAGUGACGGUAAUGGGUAAAGAAGCACCGGCUAACUACGUG